UUCCAUGGUACUUCCUUGAUAUGUUACUAAUGUUCAUAUGUGCAUGUCAUGUCGCUAAAGUUCUAACAACCUUGCUAGGUCCAAACAGGAUUGGACAUACAUAAUGAAGAUUGUUUCAAUACACCAAAAAGAACCAGUAGCCUCCCCGUGCGUGGGUCAACUUAUGAGUCCGAGUGUGAUGAUAGCCUACAAUCGUCAAUUGGCAUGCGAUUUGAUAGCUGGGAGGCAGGUUUGGCAUUCUAUAGAAUGUAUGCCCAUGAGGUUGGCUUCUCCGUAUGCAUAUGGACACAACACAAAGGAGAGGGUGGUGUAAUAAUUUGGAAGAAGUUUGUUUGCGCAAGGUUGGAGGAAGCAAAAAUCAAUGGACAUUGGCCAAGUUACUCAAGAAAUGCAGAGAAAAAAGGUUAAAAGAAAUAUCAAGAUAACCAGAUGCUGUUGUGAGGCUAUGAUCGGAUUGAAGAGGCAAGAUGACGGCAAGUAUGAGGUCGCCCAGUUUGUUCAACCACACACACACCAACUUAUCUCACCAAGUAAGAGACAUCUCAUCCGGUCAAAUAGAGAGGUAACUAGUGAUUUGAGAAACAAACUAUCUACAUGCAGUAAGGCAUUGCUUGGCACAUCAAAAACUUUUCGCUUGGUUAGUAUUGAGAAAGGUGGGCAAGGAAACAUAGCUUGCACGAAACGUGACUUACAGAACUAUGACCGUGAUUUUAAGGCAGCAAUUAAGGGAGCAGAUGGACAACUUAUAGUAGACAUAAUGGAAAAUAAAAGAAAGGCCAAUCCAGCAUUCUACUUUGAUUACUAGGUUGAUGAGAACAAUAAACUAAAAAAAUAUUUUCUGGGCAGAUAGUAUAUGUAGAAAGAACUAUUCAUUGUUUGGUGUUGUUGUGUCAUUCGACUCUACAUAUAGAUUCAACAAGUAUGACCUGGUAUUUACCCCUUUUA